rnacentral:rRNA from 1 species
UAACACGUAGGGUGCAAGCGUUGUCCGGAUUCAUUGGGCGUAAAGGGCUAGUAGGCGGCUUAGCAAGUCGGGUGUGAAAACUUCAGGCUCAACCUGGAGCGGCCAUCCGAUACUGCUAUGGCUAGAGUCCGGUAGGGGACCACGGAAUUCCUGGUGUAGCGGUGAAAUGCGCAGAUAUCAGGAGGAACACCGAUGGCGAAGGCAGUGGUCUGGGCCGGAACUGACGCUGAAUAGCGAAAGCGUGGGUAGCGAACAGGAUUAGAUACCCUGGUAGUCCACGCCGUAAACGUUGGGCACUAGGUGUGGGGAGUUAUCAACGCUCUCCGUGCCGUAGCUAACGCAUUAAGUGCCCCGCCUGGGGAGUACGGCCGCAAGGCUA